UGCCAGCAGCCGCGGUAAUACAGAGGGUGCAAACGUUGUUCGGAAUUACCGGGCAUAAAGCGCACGUAGGCGGCCAGGUAAGUGUGAAGUGAAAUCCCACGGCUCACCCGUGGAAUGGCUUUGCAUACUGCUUGGCUCGAGGAAGGUAGGGGAGAGCAGAACUCUUGGAGGAGCGGUGAAAUGCGUAGAUAUCAAGAGGAAUACCAGUGGCGAAGGCGGCUCUCUGGUCCUUUACUGACGCUGAGGUGCGAAAGCGUGGGGAGCAAACAGGAUUAGAUA
rnacentral:rRNA from 1 species